AUUGAACGCUGGCGGCAGGCCUAACACAUGCAAGUCGAACGAGUGGCGGACGGGUGAGUAAUGUCUGGGAAACUGCCUGAUGGAGGGGGAUAACUACUGGAAACGGUAGCUAAUACCGCAUACCAUCAGAUGUGCCCAGAGGGGAUUAGCUAGUUGGUGGGGUAACGGCUCACCAAGGCGACGAUCCCUAGCUGGUCUGAGAGGAUGACCAGCCACACUGGAACUGAGACACGUUCCAGACGCCUACGGGAGGCAGCAGUGGGGAAUAUUGCACAAUGGGCGCAAGCCUGAUGCAGCCAUGCCGCGUGUGUGAUGAAGGCCUUCGGGUUGUAAAGCACUUUCAGCGAGGAGGCGUUAUUCGCAGAAGAAGCACCGGCUAACUCCGUGCCAGCAGCCGCGGUAAUAC
rnacentral:rRNA from 1 species